rnacentral:rRNA from 1 species
UACAGAGGUCUCAAGCGUUGUUCGGAUUCAUUGGGCGUAAAGGGUGCGUAGGCGGCGCGGUAAGUCGGGUGUGAAAUCUCGGAGCUUAACUCCGAAACUGCAUUCGAUACUGCCGUGCUUGAGGACUGGAGAGGAGACUGGAAUUUACGGUGUAGCGGUGAAAUGCGUAGAUAUCUGGAGGAACACCGGUGGCGAAGGCGGCAUCCUGGACCAAUAUUGACGCUGAGGAGCGAAAGCCAGAGGAGCAAACGGG